GGAUCGAUGAUGACAACAGGUUUCUGAGGACGCUGAUUGACUCAAACAUAACCCCUCUGAGGUCC